rnacentral:rRNA from 1 species
CAGUAGCCGCGGUAAUACGUAGGGUGCAAGCGUUAAUCGGAAUUACUGGGCGUAAAGCGUGCGCAGGCGGUUAUAUAAGUCAGAUGUGAAAUCCCCGGGCUCAACCUGGGAACUGCAUUUGAGACUGUAUGGCUAGAGUGUGUCAGAGGGGGGUAGAAUUCCACGUGUAGCAGUGAAAUGCGUAGAGAUGUGGAGGAAUACCGAUGGCGAAGGCAGCCCCCUGGGCCAAUACUGACGCUCAUGCACGAAAGCGUGGGGAGCAAACAGGAUUAGAUACCCCGGUAGUCCCUGUCUCUUAUAC